GACGAACGCUGGCGGCGUGCUUAACACAUGCAAGUCGAACGGGUCUGCCCUGUUUUUUGCGGGGUGGGUCAGUGGCGAACGGGUGAGUAACACGUGAGUAACCUGCCCCUCACUUCUGGAUAACCGCUUGAAAGGGUGGCUAAUACGGGGUGUUCUGGCUGUGCCGCAUGGUGUGGCUGGGAAAGAUUCACUUUUGUGGUGUUUUUGUGGGGGAUGGGCUCGCGGCCUAUCAGCUUGUUGGUGGGGUGAUGGCCUGCCAAGGCUUUGACGGGUAGCCGGCCUGGGAGGGUGGGCGGUCAGACUGGGACUGAGUUACGGCCCAGACUCCUGCGGGAGGCAGCAGUGGGGGGUAUUGCACAAUGGGCGGAAGCCUGAUGCAGCGACGUCGCGUGAGGGAUGGAGGCCUUCGGGUUGUGAACCUCUUUCGCCGGUGAAGAAGGUCCUGCUCUUUGUGGUGGGGUUGACGGUAGCCGGGUUAUGAAGCGCCGGCUAACUACGUG
rnacentral:rRNA from 1 species